UAAUAGCCGGUCCUCCCCGAGCGCUCACUGUUCCGGAAUCAAGGGCCGCUUGACAAAAAGGAAGAGGAGGCUAUAACUAGCCUCCUCCGAGAGACCUGAAAAAAUCAAAGCAGGGAAAGCGGGGGAGGGUUGACAGGGAUGAUCGGGAAGUGUAGGAUCAAACGGUUGACUCUUUCGGGAGAAAAAGCCCUGAAGAGAAAGACGCCCUGUGGAAACGCAGGGAGAGCGUCUCGGAUCAUUGACAACUAAAUAGGAGCAGCAACGUCCAAUUAAAGGGCCCUGAUCACGAAACACAGUAAUAAAAUGAAUCUGGAGAGUUUGAUCCUGGCUCAGAACGAACGCUGGCGGCGUGCCUAACACAUGCAAGUCCAACGUGAAAGGGGAGCAAUCCCCCGGUAGGGUGGCAAACGGGUGAGUAAUACAUGGGUGAUCUACCUUAGGGAUGGGGAUAUCCUUCCGAAAGGAGG
rnacentral:rRNA from 1 species